ACUCUGAUAUGAUGCAACAAGAAUGCACUUAACCUCUGUGGUCCUCUUCCCAAAACUAUAAACAUGAGAAAAGACAAACCCAAACUGAGUUUCUACAAGGCUUUGAAGAGGUAUGAACUGAAAUGAUCAGGGACCAAGCACUGCAAGUGACAGCAAAGUCUGCUCUCUUCUGUUUUGGAGGGAAUGGGAAAGAAUCGUGGGAACAAUAGUGGCACUCAUGCAGAAGCAGAGAUGAGAGUUGAACGGGUUUUCGUGAAGCACAAACUAUGCCAGGACAUGGAGAAAAGGCAACUAUCUGCAAGCCAGGAAUAGCGCUCUCAUCAGGAACUGAAUUGACCGGCACCUUCACUUUGGACUUGCAGGUUCCAGAACUGUGAGAAACCACUAUGGUAUUUUGUUAUGGCAGAAUGAGACAGUUUGUUCACUGACAAGCAGCUUUGUGUGGGGUCAGUUGCUGAGGAAAUGCUUAAGGAUCAAGAGAUGGGCCCCAAAAUGUCCCCAAAGUUUGGUAGGGCUUUUGCUUUAACCAAGGUGGGGUGUGCAAG